AGUCCAUGGUGAGCACACCUUCUCAACAAAUCCUUAAAUUUCUCCCAUGUAUCAUAAAGAGUCUCAAUAUGGAAUUGAACAAAACAACAAAUAUCAUUCCUCAACUU
rfam:Gossypium raimondii Chr04_contig_713, whole genome shotgun sequence.